rnacentral:rRNA from 1 species
CGACGCCGCGUGUGGGAAGAAGGCCUUCGGGUUGUAAACCACUGUCGGGAGUUAGGAAAUGCAGGUGCGUUAAUAGCGCACUUGCUUGACUAAGGCUCCAGAGGAAGCCACGGCUAACUCUGUGCCAGCAGCCGCGGUAAUACAGAGGCGGCAAGCGUUGUUCGGAAUUAUUGGGCGUAAAGAGCACGUAGGCGGCCUUGCAAGUCAGUUGUGAAAGCCUUCCGCUUAACGGAAGAACGGCAUCUGAUACUACAGGGCUUGAGUACGGGAGGGGAGAGUGGAACUUCUGGUGGAGCGGUGAAAUGCGUAGAUAUCAGAAGGAACGCCGGCGGCGAAAGCGACUCUCUGGUCCGAAACUGACGCUGAGUGUGCGAAAGCUAGGGGAGCAAACGGGAUUAGAUACCCCGGUAGUCCUAGCCGUAAACGAUGGGCACUAAGUAGAGGGAAUU